UCGACGGUGGCGUAGAGCCCCUGCAGCGUGCCACAGCGCAGCUCCUCUGCUCGUGUGCUGUCGGUGGUGAAGAGCAGCACCUCGCUCCCCAGCAGUGCCCGAAAGGAGCCCAGCAGAUACCGCGUCCUGACAACCCCCAGGUGGGUCCUGAGCACAACCUUCCAGUCUCACCACGAGCUCCAGCUCUGUCAGUCUCAAACCACAGCUGCGGUGAUAGCAGUUACCUCAGAUUCCCAGCCCUUGGAUUUAGAUCCAGGUCCAGAAGUUGGGAGGGAUUUAUCUGAGCUUUGCUGGGCGUGGCUUGAUCUUGGGCAGCAGGAUAUGGAGCCAGGAGUCCACAGCUGCCAGAUCCCAGAAAGCCCGUGGUGGCUGUGGGCUGUGCACCGUCAGGGCUGUCGCCAUGGCUUACACCUGCACAGUGCUGAGCCCGCUCAUGUACAUCUUGAGCAGCCGGUCCCUCCAGGCAGGGCGCGGGACACGAGC